AUGGAGACGUUCAAUGCUUGGAUCAGAGAGCUUGGGAUGGAGGAUAUCCAGGUUGAUAACAGACUGUUCACUUGGUCCAACAAGAGAUCUUCCCCCACGAUGGUUAAGCUGGAUCGGGUGCUGGUGAAUGCUGCUUGGGGUUAUAUUUCGCACAGACUUCUGCCUCUGUUGUGCCUGCUACCACCUCAGACCACACCCCCAUUGUUAUUCAGUUUCGUACUGAAGCAGUCAAAAGUUGCUUAUUCAGGAUGGAGAACCACUGGCUGCAUAUGGAGGAGACUAGGCAUAUUAUACAAGAUGGUUGGUCCAGGGGCUGCAGAACCAUCCUUUCAUCAGUGUCUGUCAUCAACUUUAAAAUGA
rnacentral:rRNA from 1 species